rnacentral:rRNA from 1 species
GAGUGGCGCACGGGUGAGUAACGCGUAUGCAACCUACCUGUAACAGAGGGAUAGCCCAUAGAAAUCUGGAUUAAUGCCCCAUAGUAUUAUCGAAAGGCAUGGUAUUAUAAUUAAAGCUCAGGCGGUUUUUGAUGAACAUGCGUGUCAUUAGUUUGUUGGUAAGGUAACGGCUCACCAAGACUACGAUGACUAGGGGGUCUGAGAGGAUGAUCCCCCACACUGGUACUGAGACACGGACCAGACUCCUACGGGAGGCAGCAGUAAGGAAUAUUGGGCAAUGGAGGCAACUCUGACCCAGCCAUGCCGCGUGAAGGAUAGGCGGCCUCUGGGUUGUAAACUUCUUUUGUACGGGAAUAACCCUCCGAACGUGUUCGGAGCUGAAGGUACCGUAAGAAUAAGGAUCGGCUAACUCCGUGCCAGCAGCCGCGGUAAUACGGAGGAUCCAAGCGUUAUCCGGAUUUACUGGGUUUAAAGGGUGCGUAGGCGGUUUUUUAAGUCAGCGGUGAAAGUUUUCCGCUUAACGGUAGAAUUGCCAUUGAUACUGUUUUUCUUGAGUAUGGUUGAGGUAGGUGGAAUGUGUUGUGUAGCGGUGAAAUGCAUAGAUAUGACACAGAACGCCGAUUGCGAAGGCAGCUUACUAAGCCAUUACUGACGCUGAGGCACGAAAGCGUGGGGAUCGAACAGGAUUAGAUACCCUGGUAGUCCACGCCGUAAACGAUGAGUGCUAGGUGGGGUAUCGACCCCCUCGGUGCCGCAGCUAACGCAUUAAGCACUCCGCCUGGGGAGUACGGUCGCAAGACUAAAACUCAAAGGAAUUGACGGGGGCCCGCACAAGCGGUGGAGCAUGUGGUUUAAUUCGACGCAACGCGAAGAACCUUACCUGGGCUUAAAUGUAGAGCGACAGAUUGUGAAAGCAGUCCUUCUUCGGACGAUCUACAAGGUGCUGCAUGGUUGUCGUCAGCUCGUGCCGUGAGGUGUCGGGUUAAGUCCCAUAACGAGCGCAACCCUUAUCGUUAGUUGCCAGCGGAUCAUGCCGGGGACUCUAGCGAGACUGCCACCGUAAGGUGUGAGGAAGGUGGGGAUGACGUCAAAUCAGCACGGCCCUUAUGUCCAGGGCUACACACGUGUUACAAUGGCCGAUACAAAGGGCAGCUACUCCGCGAGGAGAUGCUAAUCUCUAAAGUCGGUCCCAGUUCGGAUUGGAGUCUGCAACCCGACUCCAUGAAGUUGGAUUCGCUAGUAAUCGCGCAUCAGCCAUGGCGCGGUGAAUACGUUCCCGGGCCUUGUACACACCGCCCGUCAAACCAUGGGAGCUGGGGGUGCCUGAAGCAGUUGACUUCAAGGAGCGGCCUAGGGUAAAACCAGUGACUGGGGU